AACUUUUAGCAACGGAUCACUUGGCUCUCGCAUCGAUGAAGAACGCAGCGAAAUGCGAUAAGGAAUGUGAAUUGCAGAAUUCAGUGAAUCAUCGAAUCUUGAAACGCACCGUGCACCCUUUGGCAUGCCGAAGGGUAUGCUCGUUUGAUGGUCAUUGUACUCUCACACGCCCUAUGCGUGUGGAUUGGGAGUGGUGGACUUGGGUGUUGCUGCUUUACUGUGGAUAACAUGAAAUGGAGUAGUGCAAUUCUUGGUUGGCCAUAGUACGGCGUGAUAAGUGUCUUCGCCGGCGCCUCAUUAGCGGGUGGCCGAUCGGGAGCUCUGUGCUUCAAACCGUCUUCGGACAACAUCUGACAACUCGACCUCACAUCGAGUAGGACUCCCCGCUGAACUUAAGCAUAUCAAUACGCGGAGGCU
rnacentral:misc_RNA from 1 species